GAUGAAGAACGCAGCGAAAUGCGAUAAGUAAUGUGAAUUGCAGAAUUCAGUGAAUCAUCGAAUCUUUGAACGCACAUUGCGCCCGCCAGUAUUCUGGCGGGCAUGCCUGUCUGAGCGUCAUUUCAACCCUCAUGCCCCUAGGGCGUGGUGUUGGGGAUCGGCCAAAGCCCGCGAGGGACGGCCGGCCCCUAAAUCUAGUGGCGGACCCGUCGUGGCCUCCUCUGCGAAGUAGUGAUAUUCCGCAUCGGAGAGCGAUGAGCCCCUGCCGUUAAACCCCCAACUUUCCAAGGUUGACCUCAGAUCAGGUAGGAAUACCCGCUGAGCUUAAGCAUAUCAAUAAGCGGAGGA
rnacentral:misc_RNA from 1 species